CCUACGGGCGUCAGCAGUGAGGAAUAUUGGUCAAUGGACGAGAGUCUGAACCAGCCAAGCAGCGUGAAGGAUGACUGCCCUAUGGGUUGUAAACUUCUUUUAUAUGGGAAUAAAACCGGGUAUGCAUAUCCUUUUGUAUGUACCAUAUGAAUAAGGAUCGGCUAACUCCGUGCCAGCAGCCGCGGUAAUACGGAGGAUCCGAGCGUUCUCCGGAUUUAUUGGGUUUAAAGGGAGCGUAGGUGGAUUGUUAAGUCAGUUGUGAAAGUCUGAGGCUCAACCGUAAAAUUGCAGUUGAAACUGGCAGUCUAGAGUACAGUAGAGGUAGGCGGAAUGCGUGGUGUAGCGGUGAAAUGCUUAGAGAUCACGAAGAACACCGAUUGCGAAGGCAGCUCACUAGACUACAACUGACACUGAUGCACGAAAGUGUGGGUAUCAAACAGGAUUAGAUACCCUAGUAGUC
rnacentral:rRNA from 1 species